UGCCAUUCCUCUGGGAAAGUGGGGGGAAAGAAAAGAAAAAAAACAGAGAGAGGAAGAAACAUUGGUGUCUCCAGAUGGCUGAGUUGCUGGCCUCAGGGAUAAAAACCAAAUGGUAUAUCUUGGCUGAGUUUGCCAAAGGCGUGAGCCUAAGGGCAAGGGCCAAAGGGCUCUCAACCUGUGGUGGUGACCCGAGGCUAUGAGCUACGAAGAGAGGAGCCUUCAUGGGAAGAAAAGACCACAGUGAGCAAGUAGUAUUGGUGGACUACAAGCAAUUGGAGGACUUGUAAAGACUUUCUAUAACCAAAUAUGUUGUUGCCUAGAAGGCAAUGUUCCUUGAUUUUCCUGUACAGUCACCCAUUUCCCUCAAGCAGAAAACUAUAGAAGAUUACUUUUUUUCCUGCUACA